rnacentral:rRNA from 1 species
UACGUAGGGUGCAAGCGUUGUCCGGAAUUAUUGGGCGUAAAGAGCUCGUAGGCGGCCUGUCGCGUCGGUUGUGAAAGCCCGGGGCUUAACCCCGGGUCGUCAGUCGAUACGGGCAGGCUAGAGUUCGGUAGGGGAGAUCGGAAUUCCUGGUGUAGCGGUGAAAUGCGCAGAUAUCAGGAGGAACACCGGUGGCGAAGGCGGAUCUCUGGGCCGAUACUGACGCUGAGGAGCGAAAGCGUGGGGAGCGAACAGG